CUAGCAUCCUCUCAUUCUUCUUUGGCUUCUUCCACUUAUACUAAUCAACUUCUCCACCACUUCCAUUAUUUAAUCCACCACUAUGUCUCAUCCUCCCUGAAAAUAUUCGUCCACUCCAUCUUUCACCUAUUAAACAAACCAUUUCUCCCAUCUUUCUCUCCAUUUUCACAUUAAAAUACUUCUCCACCUCCAUAUCCUCCCUUCUUCCAAUAUAAUAUUCACUCUUCUCCUUUCCACAGAC
rnacentral:lncRNA from 1 species